CACCAAACACGUAUAUGAAAACUUUUUUCUACAUCGGUAAAUGUGUCUCUUCAUCUUUCAAUGGCUUGCUUUCAUUGUGCUCUCACAAGAAAAAUAUAAGGAUUGUGAAAGUCAAAUUUGUUCUAUAUGCUGAAAAUUACCUCUUCAUGAUGAAAAACAUCAACACUUCUUCUAUAAAAGAAUGACAUUUUUGGUGAUGAGUUGGUGCACUGUUGGAAGACAUGAGGAGCUCUUAACGUGGAAUCAAACGCAAAGCUCUCUGAUAAGCAUGUAUUAAGGUUGUGGCUGCAUUGAUUCAAGGAGGCCAGCAAACCUGAUUAUUAAUUCACCUAAUCCCCCAGAAAAGAGGGAGUAACAAUUUCUCAACCACACUUAUUGAAGACUUUCUGAAGCUUCUCUGCUUUCCAGAAUGCAAUUGCUGGUGCUGAGGGUUCAUAGUAAUAAUUGGUUGAUGCAUUGACUUGGUUUGAUGAACGAAAUACACAGACAUUUUGUGUCAUAGAUUUUUGAAAUCAUUACAGCUUCAUGAAAGCGAUAUUUUUUAGAUGCUGUAUAAAGAUGUCCAAAAUUUCUAGGUUGUUUUCUUAUGUAAACUAUAAGGACAUGCCAUCUUAUGCUUCACGUUUUCCUUCAUUAUGUAGGAGUUUGUCUUCCAAAAAAAUUGUACUAUUUUGUGAUAUAUUUUAGAUUUUUUAGUAUGCCAUGGUUUUAUCUCAGUUAUAGAUCA